CUUGGCGAUUGAACAAGCAGUGCGCGUAAUAAUAAUUAAUAGUUUCCACGUGUUUAUUUACAAGCAAUCUAUGGUGUUGCCUUAUAACUGGACUUGAUCUUCUUGGUGGCGGCCAGCAGGAGCUGGAGUUGCCGGGCAGCUUGAGUGAUCUUGGGUGAGCUUCAUGACGGCCUUGAACAGCUCCCAACUGCAAUUCUUGAAGAACAUCAUGCCAGGCUGUUCAGAUGGAUGAUCUUGUUACAUAUGGCGAUCAUGGACUUGCAAUUGACAAUGACAAUGAAGAGCACAUCCUUGGGCAUGCGAUUGGUAUCUCGGUGAUGCCCUUGGCGUUGCCUUCGUCAGCGCCUUCCGCACACAGCCAAUGAAGCUGUAGCUCCCACAGUCCACAUAGUCGUCAUCCAGCUGGGCCUCUAGCUGCUGCAGCGCUAGCUCCAGGCGAUUCCCAAGCUACUGCAGCUCCACAGUCGUGCUGGCCUGCUGCUAAAAACAAAUAACUAACCUACUGUAUAUUGUGAUUAUCCCUGAAGCGAACGCAGAACUUCAUCAAAGAUGUUAACUGACUACUGCAGUCGGAUCUACAUCCUGAAGAGGUUUUGCAGUUAGCUGGACUAAGGACUACAAUAUUAGCAAUAGCUGCUAGUGCUGCUUGAAAGGAUGCUGAAUCAUUAUUUUGUA